rnacentral:rRNA from 1 species
GACAGAGGGUGCAAACGUUGUUCGGAAUUACUGGGCGUAAAGCGCGUGUAGGCGGCCAUCUAAGUCGGGCGUGAAAUCCCACGGCUCAACCGUGGAAGUGCACUCGAAACUGGAUGGCCAGAGUCCUGGAGAGGAAGGUGGAAUGCUUGGUGUAGAGGUGAAAUUCGUAGAUAUCAAGCGGAACACCGGUGGCGAAGGCGGCCUUCUGGACAGUGACUGACGCUGAGACGCGAAAGCGUGGGGAGCAAACAGG